UGUUUCGGCUAGGGGGCCAUCCCGGCUUACCAACCCGAUGCAAACUGCGAAUACCGGAGAAUGUUAUCACGGGAGACACACGGCGGGUGCUAACGUCCGUCGUGAAGAGGGAAACAACCCAGACCGCCAGCUAAGGUCCCAAAGUCAUGGUUAAGUGGGAAACGAUGUGGGAAGGCCCAGACAGCCAGGAUGUUGGCUUAGAAGCAGCCAUCAUUUAAAGAAAGCGUAAUAGCUCACUGGUCGAGUCGGCCUGCGCGGAAGAUGUAACGGGGCUAAACCAUGCACCGAAGCUGCGGCAGCGACACUGUGUGUUGUUGGGUAGGGGAGCGUUCUGUAAGCCUGUGAAGGUGUGUCGUGAGGCAUGCUGGAGGUAUCAGAAGUGCGAAUG
rnacentral:rRNA from 1 species